CUCGCCGCCCGCCCACAGCGCCGCCUGCCGGCCGGCGCCAACACUACCGCCAAGCGGGGAGCGGGGCGCAUAGCAGCGGGUGAAAAUGGCUUUAUCCGGCCCCAAUGGCACCGCUUCAGCGGGGCAGGCUUUGUGUCUGCUGGUAUUCGGAAAGCUGCCUGAACACAGCCGGGUCACGAGGAAGCAUUCUAUGUACACACUCCACAGCGCUGGUGAUGGCAGGCAAGCUGGUUUGCUCUGUUGCCCCUGUCCACAUGAACACAUGCUCUUCAAAGCAAACUAAUUUCUGAGCAAACAGCUUCACAGAAGGCAGCAAUCUGUGAUGUGACUGGCUGAGUUGGAGGACUGGGUCCUGCCAGCAGUGAGGACCACCCUGUUUGGACGGCCUGAGAGGUGUACCUGCUGUUGUCACAGCCUGCUCAGGCACUGAGCAUUACCCAUGGCUGGCCCUUGCUGCAAAAGCAUCCCUCGAAGCCUCA
rnacentral:lncRNA from 1 species